CCUACGGGAGGCAGCAGUGGGGAAUAUUGGGCAAUGGGCGCAAGCCUGACCCAGCAACGCCGCGUGAAGGAAGAAGGCCCUCGGGUUGUAAACUUCUUUUAUCAAGGACGAAACAAAUGACGGUACUUGAUGAAUAAGCCACGGCUAACUCCGUGCCAGCAGCCGCGGUAAUACGGAGGAUGCGAGCGUUAUCCGGAUUUAUUGGGUUUAAAGGGUGCGCAGGCGGAAUGUCAAGUCAGCGGUAAAAUUUCGGGGCUCAACCCCGUCGUGCCGUUGAAACUGGCGUUCUUGAGUGAGCGAGAAGUAUGCGGAAUGCGUGGUGUAGCGGUGAAAUGCAUAGAUAUCACGAAGAACCCCGAUUGCGAAGGCAGCUUACUAAACUGUGACUGACAUUGAUGCUCGAAAGUGUGGGUAUCAAACAGGAUUAGAUACCCUUGUAGUC
rnacentral:rRNA from 1 species